UACGUAGGUGGCAAGCGUUGUCCGGAUUUAUUGGGCGUAAAGCGAGCGCAGGUGGUCUUUUAAGUCUGUUGUGAAAGCCCUCAGCUCAACUGAGGAAGUGCAGCGGAAACUAGAAGACUUGAGUACAGAAGAGGAUAGUGGAACUCCAUGUGUAGCGGUGAAAUGCGUAGAUAUAUGGAAGAACACCAGUGGCGAAGGCGGCUAUCUGGUCUGUUACUGACACUGAGGCUCGAAAGCAUGGGUAGCGAACAGG
rnacentral:rRNA from 1 species